GAACCCUUGCCACAAGUCUUUGAGGGGUCAGUAGGUGGCCUGUUGCAAGGCUUAAUUUCUGCCCAACAUGUCCUCUCAGUUGGCAGUCAAAAUUUCCCUUACCUUCAUCAUAGGCCCACUUUAUAGAACCUACAAAUUGAUUUGUUAUGAAAUGAAGAGAUGUGAGACAACUAUCCUACAGAGACCAAAUGAUGUUGAUGUAAAAUAGGUUACUGUAUGGACUUCAACAAUGAGAAAAUCAACUAACAUUAAAAUUUUGCAAUAUUCUGAAUUAGAAUGACUUUGUUAAUACCUCUAACCUUUAACAUCUAAUAUUUUUAUUAUCUAGAGCUCUGUAAAAAAAAAUAUCAAAAAAAUAUCAAAAAAGAAAAUACCAAAAAAUAAUAUAUGAAAACAAAAUUGUUUGUAAACAGAGUUCUAGAUAAUAAACAUUGAGGGUGGUGUAAAAGGUGGGAUUAUUGUAAUAUUUUUUAUGACCCCCGCUUUAAAGUCUUCUAAAGUUAUCAUGUUUAAAACAAACAAAAAUUGGAAUGGCAAUUUAAAAAGUAUAGUUCCUAUGUGUAGGGACAGUGCCACUCUGCACGUUAAAGAACCCUUGCCACAAGUCUUUGAGGCCUGGUCAGUAGGUGGCCUGUUGCAAGGCUUAAUUUCUGUCCAACAUAUCCUCCUCUCAGUUGGCAGUCAAAAUUUCCCUUACCUUCAUCAUAGGCCCACUUUAUAGAACCUACAAAUUGAUUUGUUAUGAAAUGAAAAGAUGCGAGACAACUAUCCUACAGAGACCAAAUGAAGUUGCAUGUUACUGUAUGGACUUCAACAAUGAGAAAAUCAACUAACAUUAAAAUUUUGCAAUAUUCUGAAUUAGAAUGACUUUGUUAAUACCUCUAACCUUUAACAUCUGAUAUUUUUAUUAUCUAGAGCUCUGUAAAAAAAUAUACAAAAAAAAAUAUAAAAAAUGAAAAUACCAAAAAAUAAUAUGAUAACAAAACUGUUUGUAAACAGAGUUCUAGAUAAUAAACAUUGAGGGUGGUGUAAAAGGUGGGAUUAUUGUAAUAUUUUUUAUGACCCCCGCCUUAAAGUCUUCUAAAGUUAUCAUUUUUAAAACAAACAAAAAUUGGAAUGGCAAUUUAAAAAGUAUAUUGUUCCUAUGUGUAGGGACAGUGCCACUCUGCACGUUAAAGAACCCUUGCCACAAGUCUUUGAGGGGUCAGUAGGUGGCCUGUUGCAAGGCUUAAUUUCUGCCCAACAUGUCCUCUCAGUUGGCAGUCAAAAUUUCCCUUACCUUCAUCAUAGGCCCACUUUAUAGAACCUACAAAUUGAUUUGUUAUGAAAUGAAGAGAUGUGAGACAACUAUCCUACAGAGACCAAAUGAUGUUGAUGUAAAAUAGGUUACUGUAUGGACUUCAACAAUGAGAAAAUCAACUAACAUUAAAAUUUUGCAAUAUUCUGAAUUAGAAUGACUUUGUUAAUACCUCUAACCUUUAACAUCUAAUAUUUUUAUUAUCUAGAGCUCUGUAAAAAAAAAUAUCAAAAAAAUAUCAAAAAAGAAAAUACCAAAAAAUAAUAUAUGAAAACAAAAUUGUUUGUAAACAGAGUUCUAGAUAAUAAACAUUGAGGGUGGUGUAAAAGGUGGGAUUAUUGUAAUAUUUUUUAUGACCCCCGCCUUAAAGUCUUCUAAAGUUAUCAUUUUUAAAACAAACAAAAAUUGGAAUGGCAAUUUAAAAAGUAUAGUUUCUAUGUGUAGGGACAGUGCCACUCUGCACAUUAAAAAACCCUUGCCACAAGUCUUUGAGGGGUCAGUAGGUGGCCUGUUGCAAGGCUUAAUUUCUGUCCAACAUAUCCUCCUCUCAGUUGGCAGUCAAAAUUUCCCUUACCUUCAUCAUAGGCCCACUUUAUAGAACCUACAAAUUGAUUUGUUAUGAAAUGAAAAGAUGCGAGACAACUAUCCUACAGAGACCAAAUGAAGUUGCAUGUUACUGUAUGGACUUCAACAAUGAGAAAAUCAACUAACAUUAAAAUUUUGCAAUAUUCUGAAUUAGAAUGACUUUGUUAAUACCUCUAACCUUUAACAUCUGAUAUUUUUAUUAUCUAGAGCUCUGUAAAAAAAUAUACAAAAAAAAAUAUAAAAAAUGAAAAUACCAAAAAAUAAUAUGAUAACAAAACUGUUUGUAAACAGAGUUCUAGAUAAUAAACAUUGAGGGUGGUGUAAAAGGUGGGAUUAUUGUAAUAUUUUUUAUGACCCCCGCCUUAAAGUCUUCUAAAGUUAUCAUUUUUAAAACAAACAAAAAUUGGAAUGGCAAUUUAAAAAGUAUAUUGUUCCUAUGUGUAGGGACAGUGCCACUCUGCACGUUAAAGAACCCUUGCCACAAGUCUUUGAGGGGUCAGUAGGUGGCCUGUUGCAAGGCUUAAUUUCUGUCCAACAUAUCCUCUCAGUUGGCAGUCAAAAUUUCCCUUACCUUCAUCAUAGGCCCACUUUAUAGAACCUACAAAUUGAUUUGUUAUGAAAUGAAGAGAUGUGAGACAUUACUAUCCUACAGAGACCAAAUGAUGUUGAUGUAAAAUAGGUUACUGUAUGGACUUCAACAAUGAGAAAAUCAUCCAACAUUAAAAUUUUGCAAUAUUCUGAAUUAGAAUGACUUUGUUAAUACCUCUAACCUUUAACAUCCGAUAUUUUUAUUAUCUAGAGCUCUGUAAAAAAAUAUACAAAAAAAAUAUAAAAAAUGAAAAUACAAAAAAAUAUAUACAAAAAAAAUAUCAAAAAUGAAAAUACCAAAAAAUAAUAUGAAAACAAAAUUGUUUGUAAACAGAGUUCUAGAUAAUAAACAUUGAGGGUGGUGUAAAAGGUGGGAUUAUUGUAAUAUUUUUUAUGACCCCCGCCUUAAAGUCUUCUAAAGUUAUCAUUUUUAAAACAAACAAAAAUUGGAAUGGCAAUUUAAAAAGUAUAUAGUUCCUAUGUGUAGGGACAGUGCCACUCUGCAUGUUAGAGAACCCUUGCCACAAGUCUUUGAGGGGUCAGUAGGUGGCCUGUUGCAAGGCUUAAUUUCUGCCCAACAUGUCCUCUCAGUUGGCAGUCAAAAUUUCCCCUACCUUCAUCAUCAGCCCACUUUAUAGAA